UUGGUCCCUUACAUCAGCUGGUUUCAUAUAAAAAGCCUCUGUUCUGCUGAUGUGGCCCUCUCUGACUUCAGGCAUUGGUUGUCACUGGUUGUUUAUUUCCGUGUUUUGUGUGCCUUACGGCAGCACGGAUAGUUACAUACCAAACCAUCAGAUCAGCACAAGUCAUAAGCGACGGAGACUUGGGCAAAGGUCCAGAGGCUUCCCCUCCGGAGAGCUGAUAGUCCAGCUCAAAGUGUGUACUUGCAGUGAUUCUGCUGUUCUGCCCUGCUUAUUUUGAAUUGUUGCUGUUACCUGCUGCUUUGGUUGUUGUGGGCAUGUGCCUGUCCUGCUGCUUGGUGUGAUUGCCCUGAAGAUUGAUCACUUUAAGGAACUAAGCAGGACCCAGUUCAGCUGCCACUGAAAGGCCAUAUUAAUAUUGCCCAAUGAACAUUUUGUUUUUCUUGCUUUUGUAUUGUUCACUCUGUAUUUUAACAUGUGUUGUGUUUUCUAGGAGCUGAUUGUCACAACUGUGGUGGUGGAUCCCUUGGUGGUGGUUUCUUCUUGGCUUGAGGUGCAUUGAUUGAUUCCUGGUGUUGUGUGUUUCUAUAUUUUAGUUUCCCUUCAGGUGCUUCCGCUGCUCCUCGGUUGACAACUCUUUGCCCGGCUAUGUUUUAU